GGACCACCACCCCAGGUCGGGCGGGGCCCCCCGCUGAUUUUAUUCAUAUUAUUAAUCGGAGGAAGAA
rnacentral:rRNA from 1 species